rnacentral:rRNA from 1 species
UACAGAGACUGCAAGCGUUGUUCGGAUUCACUGGGCGUAAAGGGUGCGCAGGCGGCCAAGUGUGUCGGGUGUGAAAGCUCGAGGCUUAACCUCGAAACUGCGCCCGAAACUAUUUGGCUAGAGUACUGGAGAGGGAAGUGGAAUUCACGGUGUAGCAGUGAAAUGCGUAGAUAUCGUGAGGAACACCAAUGGCGAAGGCAACUUCCUAGACAGUUACUGACGCUCAGGCACGAAAGCGUGGGGAGCAAAAGGG